GACGAACGCUGGCGGCGUGCCUAAUACAUGCAAGUCGAGCGAAGCGGCGGAUGGGUGAGUAACGCGUGAGAAACCUGCCCAUAAGGCUGGGAUACCCUUUGGAAACAGAUGCUAAUACCGGAUACUAAAGGAUGGACCUGGGAUGCAUUAGCUAGUUGGUAAGGUAACGGCUUACCAAGGCGAUGCUGCAUAGCCGCGUUGAUAGAAUGAACGGCCACAUUGGGACUGAGACACGGCCCAAACUCCUACGGGAGGCAGCAGUAGGGAAUCUUCCACAAUGGACGAAAGUCUGAUGGAGCAACGCCGCGUGAGUGAAGAAGGUGUUCUGAUCGUAAAGCUCUGUUGUUGGUGAAGCGGUAAUCAACCAGAAAGUAACGGCUAACUACGUGCCAGCCGCCGCGGUAAUUC
rnacentral:rRNA from 1 species